rnacentral:rRNA from 1 species
GUGCCAGCAGCCGCGGUAAUACCGGCAGCACGAGUGAUGGCCGCUAUUAUUGGGCCUAAAGCGUCCGUCGCCGGCCGGGCAAGUCCGUCGGGAAAUCCAACCGCUUAACGGGUGGGCGACCGGCGGAAACUGUUCGGCUUGGGGCCGGAGGACCCGAGGGGUACGUCCGGGGUAGGAGUGAAAUCCUGUAAUCCUGGACGGACCGCCGGUGGCGAAAGCAUCUCGAGAAAACGGAUCCGACAGUGAGGGACGAAAGCUAGGGUCUCGAACCGGAUUAGAUACCCUAGUAGUCC